rnacentral:rRNA from 1 species
GACGAACGCUGGCGGCGUGCUUAACACAUGCAAGUCGAACGGAAAGGCCCUGCUUUUGUGGGGUGCUCGAGUGGCGAACGGGUGAGUAACACGUGAGUAACCUGCCCUUGACUUUGGGAUAACUUCAGGAAACUGGGGCUAAUACCGGAUAGGAGCUCCUGCUGCAUGGUGGGGGUUGGAAAGUUUCGGCGGUUGGGGAUGGACUCGCGGCUUAUCAGCUUGUUGGUGGGGUAGUGGCUUACCAAGGCUUUGACGGGUAGCCGGCCUGAGAGGGUGACCGGCCACAUUGGGACUGAGAUACGGCCCAGACUCCUACGGGAGGCAGCAGUGGGGAAUAUUGCACAAUGGGCGGAAGCCUGAUGCAGCAACGCCGCGUGCGGGAUGACGGCCUUCGGGUUGUAAACCGCUUUCGCCUGUGACGAAGCGUGAGUGACGGUAAUGGGUAAAGAAGCACCGGCUAACUACGUGCCAGCAGCCGCGGUGAUACGUAGGGUGCGAGCGUUGUCCGGAUUUAUUGGGCGUAAAGGGCUCGUAGGUGGUUGAUCGCGUCGGAAGUGUAAUCUUGGGGCUUAACCCUGAGCGUGCUUUCGAUACGGGUUGACUUGAGGAAGGUAGGGGAGAAUGGAAUUCCUGGUGGAGCGGUGGAAUGCGCAGAUAUCAGGAGGAACACCAGUGGCGAAGGCGGUUCUCUGGGCCUUUCCUGACGCUGAGGUGCGAAAGCGUGGGGAGCGAACAGGCUUAGAUACCCUGGUAGUCCACGCUGUAAACGGUGGGUACUAGGUGUGGGGUCCAUUCCACGGGUUCCGUGCCGUAGCUAACGCUUUAAGUACCCCGCCUGGGGAGUACGGCCGCAAGGCUAAAACUCAAAGGAAUUGACGGGGCCCCGCACAAGCGGCGGAGCAUGCGGAUUAAUUCGAUGCAACGCGUAGAACCUUACCUGGGUUUGACAUGGAUCGGGAGUGCUCAGAGAUGGGUGUGCCUCUUUUGGGGUCGGUUCACAGGUGGUGCAUGGCUGUCGUCAGCUCGUGUCGUGAGACGUUGGGUUAAGUCCCGCAACGAGCGCAACCCUUGUUCACUGUUGCCAGCACGUUAUGGUGGGGACUCAGUGGAGACCGCCGGGGUCAACUCGGAGGAAGGUGGGGAUGACGUCAAGUCAUCAUGCCCCUUAUGUCCAGGGCUUCACGCAUGCUACAAUGGCUGGUACAGAGAGUGGCGAGCCUGUGAGGGUGAGCGAAUCUCGGAAAGCCGGUCUCAGUUCGGAUUGGGGUCUGCAACUCGACCUCAUGAAGUCGGAGUCGCUAGUAAUCGCAGAUCAGCAACGCUGCGGUGAAUACGUUCCCGGG